rnacentral:miRNA from 1 species
CGGGAAAUUUAGUAAAAGACAAAGGAUUUCUUUGUCUACUAAUCAUCCCAUGCAGUUUUGAUGAGGAAAGAUUAAUAGACAAAGAAAUCUUUUGUUGUUUACUAAAUUUCCCG